UUAUUAAGUAUAACUAUUUCAUUCUUAAUCUUAACAUUCAAGAUUUGAAUUUACCUUUUAUUAGGAAAUGAAAGCUUUUCAGUCAUUGACUUUGCUUUAAUGUUGUGUCAUGAUUAGGUUAAAAAUCCACCGUAAAUUGUACCAAGUUUCUGUAAUGGUAUAAUAUUGUUUUACAUAUAACUGGCUGAUCCUAAUUGUAGAAUUCAUGUUCAGUUGGGUGAAUUCUGUGGAGUUGUCGCUAUUGACACCUCAGUCUGAAAGAAAGAUACAAUAUUAGAGGGGUUGGUUUCCAACGAUUUUAAGGGCAGGGAAAAUAUAAACGUGAUUUUCCAUUUUAUUCCCUAUCCCUAGAUUACUUGAAAAGGAUCAUCUAUGAUCCCAUGUUAGAGGCCGGAGUCAGUACAGAAUAUUCCAGGGUCCUGCCCGCUGUGAGAAGACGGUACCUGAUGGACAACGAGUUUCUCCGUUCCUGCGCUUGGUCACCUACACACGUUUCCAGCGCGCCCUCCGCUACCCAGCCCUGUCCUUUGGCCCGGCCGAUAAUGUUGGGGUAGACGAACUGGGGCUCCCGCGACCCAGCCAGGCCCGCCUUAAUCACUCCUGAGCCGUUGUCGAUCACCACUGGUAGCUGGUAGUAGUAGCUCAUGCCGCCGCCUCCUCCUCCUGUCUCCUGGCUGCUCGGGCUGCCCUGGCUGCGGGCUACGCUAGGGAGCGAAAGUGCGCAGCGCGGGCCCUUGGGCAGCGCCAGAAGGCCUACGGCCUGGAACGUCGCGUCACAGAAGCGCUGGCCUGACCACGGGGCCUGCGCCUGGCAGGCGUGCCCUGGAGAGCCCAGGCCCAUUGACCCUCCAAAGUGCUGCGCCCCACCCCCACCCCCCGACUGCAUCUCACAGGGGCUGGGUCACUUGCCACCCCCUUGGAAUCCCGGGAUACCACUAUCAGGAAAACCCAACUUUCUUCACUAAUGAUAUAAAUCUAACCCUUCACAAGAGGCCUUCCCCAAUACCUCGAUGAGUCAUAAAAAGUUUUCUUUUCCAAAGCCUUUGAAUUCUGGUUAAUGUGUCUGUCCAUGGGCAUGUUGAAAGUUCUAGAAUGUGCCCUUGAACCUAGGAAAAGGUGGGAAGAUUUGACUAGAGAAAGUUGUCACAGAAGACGCCCGGUUUGUGCUUCUGGAAACCCUUGUCAACUUUUGAAAACACAAAGGAAAGAAUGCUAGGAUUUAAAGUGGGCUUUAUAUACUUUUAUUAUUGUUUCUAUACACCAGGCAAAUACUUUGUUGCGCUUCUUUCCUGCAGUUUCUAAGCAAAAUGUAGUCAAAACCAAAAUGGUAGAAGCUCACUUUUUUGGAUUGAUUGAUUUUUAGCAAUCUCAUCUGGUUAUCCCCCAUGUAAUAUGAAGGUCAUUCCUAUUUCCUAAAAAAUACAGGUAAUGGUCUCACGGU